AGAGUUUGAUCCUGGCUCAGGAUGAACGCUAGCGGGAGGCUUAACACAUGCAAGUCGAGGGGUAAGCGGGUAGCAAUACCUGCCUAGACCGGCGCACGGGUGAGUAACGCGUAUGCAACUGCCCUUUACAGGGGGAUAGCCCGGAGAAAUCCGGAUUAAUACCCCAUAGAUCUGUAUUCUCGCAUGGGGAAACAGGUAAAGCUGAGGCGGUAAAGGAUGGGCAUGCGUGGCAUUAGCUAGUUGGCGGGGUAACGGCCCACCAAGGCGACGAUGCCUAGGGGUUCUGAGAGGAAGAUCCCCCACACUGGUACUGAGACACGGACCAGACUCCUACGGGAGGCAGCAGUGAGGAAUAUUGGUCAAUGGGCGCGAGCCUGAACCAGCCAUCCCGCGUGCAGGAAGAAUGCCCUAUGGGUUGUAAACUGCUUUUGCGCAUGAAGAAAUGUAUCCUCGUGAGGGUAUUUGACGGUAAUGCGUGAAUAAGCACCGGCUAACUCCGUGCCAGCAGCCGCGGUAAUACGGAGGGUGCAAGCGUUAUCCGGAUUUAUUGGGUUUAAAGGGUGCGUAGGCGGCAUUUUAAGUCAGUGGUGAAAUCCUGCAGCUUAACUGUAGAUGUGCCAUUGAAACUGAAGUGCUUGAGUGAUCUUGAGGUAGGCGGAAUGUGUAGUGUAGCGGUGAAAUGCUUAGAUAUUACACAGAACACCCAUUGCGAAGGCAGCUUACUAAGGAUAAACUGACGCUGAUGCACGAAAGCGUGGGGAUCGAACAGGAUUAGAUACCCUGGUAGUCCACGCCGUAAACGAUGAUGACUCGCUGUUGGCGAUACACAGUCAGCGGCUUAGCGAAAGCGUUAAGUCAUCCACCUGGGGAGUACGCUCGCAAGAGUGAAACUCAAAGGAAUUGACGG
rnacentral:rRNA from 1 species